AAAGUCUUAAGUUAAAUAAAACUAGAAGCCUUCAAAGCUUCCAAUAUAAAUAUUAUAGAUUUUA
rnacentral:tRNA from 1 species